AGAGUUUGAUCAUGGCUCAGAACGAACGUUGGCGGCGUGGUUGAGGCAUGCAAGUCGCACGAGAACGAGGUAGCAAUAUCUCUAGUAAAGUGGCGGAAGGGUGAGGAAUGGGUAGAUAACGUACCCAGGAGAUGGGAAUAACGACUCGAAAGGGUCGCUAAUACCCGAUAAGACCACAGCAAUGCGGUCAAAGGCCGGGGAUCUUCGGACCUGGCGCUCUUGGAUCGGUCUGCUUCCUACCAGCUAGUUGGUGAGGUAAUGGCUCACCAAGGCUUCGACGGGUACCCGGGCUGAGAGGCUGAUCGGGCACAUCGGCACUGAGACACUGGCCGGACACCUACGGGUGGCUGCAGUUCGGAAUAUUCGGCAAUGGACGAAAGUCUGACCGAGCGACGCCGCGUGCGGGAUGAAGGCCCUAUGGGUUGUAAACCGCUUUCGCGAUUAGGUAAAUCAUAAUUCUCUAACAAAGGGUUGUGUUGAAUAAGGAUCGUAAAGAAGCCCCCGCUAAUCACGUGCCAGCAGCGGCGGUAAUACGUGAGGGGCGAACGUUGUUCGGUGUCACUGGGCUUAAAGGGUGCGUAGGUGGUUGCGUAAGUAAGGUGUGAAAUCCCUCGGCUUACCCGGGGAAUUGCAUUUUAUACUGCGUGGCUUGAGGACUAAAGGGGAAAAGGGAACUCCAGGUGUAGCGGUGAAAUGCGCAGAUAUCUGGGGGAAGGCCGGCGGCGAAGGCGCUUUUCUGGUUAGUACCUGACACUGAGGCACGAAAGCGUGGGGAGCAAACAGGAUUAGAUACCCUAGUAGUCC
rnacentral:rRNA from 1 species